GUACAAUAUUUACUUUUAUCCCGAAAACACAAUUCACUCCCUCCUACUUACUCUCUCUCUCUCUCCUCUCUACUCUGUCGAUCUGACCUGCCUCUCCGCUCUCCGCUCUCACCUCUCCCGUCUCUACUCUAACAUCUCCACUAUGCGUUUUCACAUCUCAGAUAACUGAAUAAUCAGAAUAGGGUUCAUGGGUUUUCUACUAAUUGUUACUAUGUUGGACUAUUGCCAUCUAAUUUUAUUAUUUCUACUGAUUGGGUUUAAUGUCUUUGUUUUGCAGGUGAUUAGGGUUUUUCAAUUGGGGCUUUCAAUCAAGGAUUCUGGCAAAUCACACCCUCUAAUGAGUUCUGAACAUAUGGACCUCUCAAGCAGGACUUAACCUCUCAUGCCGGCCCCGUGAAUCUUGUUUGCAGAAAUGGAUAUUAUGAUUACAUGUAGAAAUAGCAGAAUCCUUACUUUUUGCUCAGGUGGGCACCUGAGGAUUUACUUGUACUUGCCUAGAUUCUGAAUUAGCGGGAUGAAAAAAAUUAUUGCAUCUGCUUGCUUUGGAAAGAGUCUAGUUUAUCAAGUACAGUUGUGUUGGCGAGUACUCGAGAGAGCAAUGAUUUGUACAAGGAAAAGAUGUAGAAUGGUGUUAUAAAGCUCCGUGAUCAGCAGGCUGAAGGGUAAUUGUGCUCCUGUGUAUGGUCAAAUGAAUGAACCACCUGAUCUGAUGCUCUGGUUGGAUUUACUAAGCUAACAGUAGCUGAGCACUUCCGAGAUGCUGAGGGGCAAGAUGUCCUUUUAUUAGUUGACAACGAUAAGCUGCUCAAUCUGGACAUCAAAUACAAGCUCAAUCUGGGCAGCAUCUUUUUGAAUAUCCACAUUUUGAAUAUGUAUUAAAUAAUGAAAUUUUAGAAUCAUUAUAAAUUUGUUGUUUCUAUUUAUUUAUUUUUCACAGAAAUAUCUUAAGAUGUAUAGGUCUUGGGAAAAAAUAUAUUUGUGUUGUUUAUACUAGAAAUAAUUUAAAUUC